AGAGUUUGAUCAUGGCUCAAAGCGAACGCUGGCGGUAUGCUUAACACAUGCAAGUCGAGCGAGAAAGUGGCUUCGGCCACGAGUACAGCGGCGGACGGGUGCGUAACACGUGGAUAAUCUGCCUUCAGGUCUGGGAUAACCCUGGGAAACUAGAGCUAAUACCGGAUAAGACCACAGGUUUCAUGGAACCAGUGGUAAAAGGCGGCUCUCGGGCUGUCUCCUGAAGAUGAGUCCGCGUCCCAUCAGGUUGUUGGUGAGGUAACGGCUCACCAAGCCUAAGACGGGUAGCCGACCUUAGCGGGUGAUCGGCCACACGGGGACUGAGACACGGCCCCGACUCCUACGGGAGGCAGCAGUGGGGAAUCUUGGGCAAUGGGCGAAAGCCUGACCCAUCAAUACCGCGUGAGGGAUGAAGGCCUUCGGGUCGUAAACCUCUGUCAGCAGGAACGAUGGGUCUCCGUGCUAAUACCACGGAGACUUGACGGUACCUGCAAAGGAAGCCCCGGCUAACUCCGUGCCAGCAGCCGCGGUAAUACGGAGGGGGCAAGCGUUGCUCGGAAUUACUGGGCGUAAAGGG
rnacentral:rRNA from 1 species